UAAUACGUAGGAGGCGAGCGUUAUCCGGAUUUACUGGGCGUAAAGAGCGCGUAGGCGGCUUUUCAAGUCGGAUGUAAAAUCUCCCGGCUCAACUGGGAGGGACCAUUCGAUACUGUUGGGCUAGAGGGCAGCAGAGGGAGAUGGAAUUCCCGGUGUAGUGGUGAAAUGCGUAGAUAUCGGGAGGAACACCAGUGGCGAAGGCGAUCUUCUGGGCUGUACCUGACGCUGAGGCGCGAAAGCGUGGGGAGCGAACAGGAUUAGAUACCCUGGUAGUCCACGCCGUCAACGAUGGACACUAGGUAUGGGGAGUAUCGACCCUCUCCGUGCCGAAGCUAACGCGUUAAGUGUCCCGCCUGGGGACUACGACCGCAAGGUUA
rnacentral:rRNA from 1 species